rnacentral:rRNA from 1 species
CACGUAGGGGGCAAGCGUUGUCCGGAUUUAUUGGGCGUAAAGAGCUCGUAGGCUGUUCGGUAAGUCGGGUGUGAAAACCCCAGGCUCAACCUGGGGACGCCACCUGAUACUGCUGUGACUCGAGUCCGGUAGGGGAGCGUGGAAUUCCUGGUGUAGCGGUGAAAUGCGCAGAUAUCAGGAGGAAUACCGGUGGCGAAGGCGGCAUCCUGGACCAACACUGACGCUGAGGCGCGAAAGCUAGGGGAGCAAACGGG